GAUCAAUAUUUCGGUCAUGCCGUUGGUAUGCACUGUUAUCAUUGAUUUCUCACCUUCUAAAGAACCGUAAUGCCAUUAAUUUGGUGUUACGGGAAAUUAGGACUGUUACCUUGAAAAAUUAGAGUGUUUAAAGCAGGCUCACGCUUGAAUACAUUAGCAUGGAAUAAUGAAAUAGGACAUCCGAUUCUAUUUUGUUGGUUUCUAGGAUCGAUGUAAUGAUUAAUAGGGAUAGUUGAG
rnacentral:rRNA from 2 species